UGAUUAGCUAGUUGGUGAGGUAAUAGCUUACCAAGGUGAUGAUCAGUAGCUGGUCCGAGAGGAUGAUCAGCCACACUGGGACUGAGACACGGCCCAGACUCCUACGGGAGGCAGCAGUGGGGAAUUUUCCGCAAUGGGCGAAAGCCUGACGGAGCAAUGCCGCGUGGAGGUGGAAGGCCUACGGGUCGUCAACUUCUUUUCU
rnacentral:rRNA from 1 species